AUGGCCACAACAUGUUGAAAAGUCAGUUCCCAUAUGAUCACUAAAGUUAAGCAACAUUGAGCCUGGUCAGUAUGUAGAGGGAUGACCACUUGGGAAAACUAGGUGUUGUAA